AUCCAGCUGACGAGUCCCGAAUAGGACGAAACGCACGUCGUGGAU
rnacentral:hammerhead_ribozyme from 1 species